AUUGAACGCUGGCGGCAUGCUUUACACAUGCAAGUCGAACGGCAGCGCGGGCUUCGGCCUGGCGGCGAGUGGCGAACGGGUGAGUAAUACAUCGGAACGUGCCCAGUAGUUGGGGAUAGCUCGGCGAAAGCCGGAUUAAUACCGCAUACGACCUGAGGGUGAAAGCGGGGGAUCUUCGGACCUCGCGCUAUUUGAUCGGCCGAUGGCAGAUUAGCUAGUUGGUGGGGUAAAGGCCUACCAAGGCGACGAUCUGUAGCUGGUCUGAGAGGACGACCAGCCACACUGGGACUGAGACACGGCCCAGACUCCUACGGGAGGCAGCAGUGGGGAAUUUUGGACAAUGGGCGAAAGCCUGAUCCAGCAAUGCCGCGUGUGUGAUGAAGGCCUUCGGGUUGUAAAGCACUUUUGGCGGGAACGAAAAGGACUGUGCCAAUACCACGGUUCGAUGACGGUACCCGAAGAAUAAGCACCGGCUAACUACGUG
rnacentral:rRNA from 1 species